AAUCGUAGUGGCCAGUUUUAAUAUUGUAAUCGGUUGCACUUCAUUGUAAAAAGAUACAGAAAAUAAAAAAUGCACAAUACCCAGGAAACAAAUUUGAAUGCACAACUUUGGAGAAUAACACAAAUGACAUUGAUUAUGUCAACAUUAAAGCAGUAAUCAAGCAGGUGCUUGAACAUGAUCUCGAUUUUAUAAUGAGUUUGGAGAAAUCUUAAUUUUGAUUCCUAAAAUAACACUACAUUAACUAUUAUAAACAUCAUAACAGCAAAUGGAACAUACUCUCAACUUCACUGGAUAUAAUGCUGCUGAAUGGGAGGACUGAGCCGACAAGCAUAGCGGCUAUCCACCUUUGCCCGCUUUAUGAAGGAACGAAUAUGGUGGAAAUAUGUGCUCUGCACGUUUUACCGAUGUGGUUGUAACAAACUAGUUCGGGGUCAAUUGAUCGGAUGAUGAGUUCUGGAUCGCACACAAAAAUUGCCCUUGACCCUUUAAGCCAUGGCGUGUGGCAUUGACCUUAAGCGAGCCGAUACUUGCACUCAAAAUACCACGUCGAAGUUGUGAAUAUGUUGCCAUGAAAAAUCAAUAUCCCAAGAGUGAUUCUAGCGGGAAUCAUAUGUGGGCGGAUUGUCAUCUGGGAUAAUAAUUACCCUUUCGGAAGCACAAUCAAGCUCACGAUUACAACUUUUGCUAGGGGACAUCAAUUCACACAGAUUUUCAGAUUCACGUAGUUUGAGUUCUUUCCCGUCCAUCGAUCACGCUGGGUGUGUGUACAUGAUCAAGCAUCGAUCAGGAAGACGAAUUCGUAACCGGGGACCAUUACGAAAUAGCUGAGACCAACUUUCUUGUUUAUUGACUCCAAAUAAAAUGACUUGGUGCAUUAUAAACGCAAAUGAAAACCUUAUUUACUGUGUCAAAUGAUUUUGUAACGAAUCGUUUAACUAUGGAAUUAUUUGAUAAAAUUAUGGUUUUUAUUUUCA